UGUUCAAUGAUUCAACCAUGGUAAUAUAUGCUAUUCUGAUCUACACAAGGAUACCAUCAAUAUUUAUGAGAGCG
rnacentral:snoRNA from 1 species